GACGAACGCUGGCGGCGUGCUUAACACAUGCAAGUCGAACGGAAAGGCCCUGCUUUUGUGGGGUGCUCGAGUGGCGAACGGGUGAGUAACACGUGAGUAACCUGCCCUUGACUUUGGGAUAACUUCAGGAAACUGGGGCUAAUACCGGAUAGGAGCUCCUGCUGCAUGGUGGGGGUUGGAAAGUUUCGGCGGUUGGGGAUGGACUCGCGGCUUAUCAGCUUGUUGGUGGGGUAGUGGCUUACCAAGGCUUUGACGGGUAGCCGGCCUGAGAGGGUGACCGGCCACAUUGGGGCUGAGAUACGGCCCAGACUCCUACGGGAGGCAGCAGUGGGGAAUAUUGCACAAUGGGCGGAAGCCUGAUGCAGCAACGCCGCGUGCGGGAUGACGGCCUUCGGGUUGUAAACCGCUUUCGCCUGUGACGAAGCGUGAGUGACGGUAAUGGGUAAAGAAGCACCGGCUAACUACGUGCCAGCAGCCGCGGUGAUACGUAGGGUGCGAGCGUUGUCCGGAUUUAUUGGGCGUAAAGGGCUCGUGGGUGGUUGAUCGCGUCGGAAGUGUAAUCUUGGGGCUUAACCCUGAGCGUGCUUUCGAUACGGGUUGACUUGAGGAAGGUAGGGGAGAAUGGAAUUCCUGGUGGAGCGGUGGAAUGCGCAGAUAUCAGGAGGAACACCAGUGGCGAAGGCGGUUCUCUGGGCCUUUCCUGACGCUGAGGAGCGAAAGCGUGGGGAGCGAACAGGCUUAGAUACCCUGGUAGUCCACGCUGUAAACGGUGGGUACUAGGUGUGGGGUCCAUUCCACGGGUUCCGUGCCGUAGCUAACGCUUUAAGUACCCCGCCUGGGGAGUACGGCCGCAAGGCUAAAACUCAAAGGAAUUGACGGGGCCCCGCACAAGCGGCGGAGCAUGCGGAUUAAUUCGAUGCAACGCGUAGAACCUUACCUGGGUUUGACAUGGAUCGGGAGUGCUCAGAGAUGGGUGUGCCUCUUUUGGGGUCGGUUCACAGGUGGUGCAUGGCUGUCGUCAGCUCGUGUCGUGAGAUGUUGGGUUAAGUCCCGCAACGAGCGCAACCCUUGUUCACUGUUGCCAGCACGUUAUGGUGGGGACUCAGUGGAGACCGCCGGGGUCAACUCGGAGGAAGGUGGGGAUGACGUCAAGUCAUCAUGCCCCUUAUGUCCAGGGCUUCACGCAUGCUACAAUGGCUGGUACAAAGAGUGGCGAGCCUGUGAGGGUGAGCGAAUCUCGGAAAACCGGUCUCAGUUUGGAUUGGGGUCUGCAACUCGACCUCAAGAAGUCGGAGUCGCUAGUAAUCGCAGAUCAGCAACGCUGCGGUGAAUACGUUCCCGGGUCU
rnacentral:rRNA from 1 species